UCUAAUAUUAAAGCAAAUCAGCAAUAUGCUUCUGCAUAACACGUGAUUUAAUCCUCUAAGUAUUGAAUAUUUAUAUAUAGUCAAUGGCGCGGUAUAUUUAUGAUCUUUGUUAUUGUGAAGUUGAGGGUCAGUGUUUAUUUGUUGCUUUGAAUUGUAUUCAAAGCUUCAAAUUUUCGAUAAUGACUUCACGAAAACGUUGCUACAAUGGAUUAAAACAUGCAAAACAACAUAUGAUAUUAUUUUUCAUUUUAUUCGGCGUACUUUGUGGAUAUUUGGUGCUUUAUUACAUUGCAAUGUUCAGUCGUCCAUAGAUCCAACGCCGAAGGAAUAUGCAAUGUACGUGUCGUUUCUUGGUGAGAUUUGGGUGAGAGCUUUAAGACUUUUGGUUCUUCCUUUGAUUGUAUCCAGCCUGCUUUUGUCAGUCGCUGAAUUGGAGUCAAAGCAGAGCGGAAAAUUAGGAAGAAGAACAUUGCUGUAUUGUCUUAUGACUACAAUGUUUGGGAAGUAAUUUGUUUAUUUGCUUUUAACCUGGAAAUGUUAACGUGAAAGAACCAGAACCGAACGAAGAAAAAGUUGAAUCAAUACAUUCUGUGCUUGAUCUUACAAGGCUUUGGUCCACUGCUCACUGCGAAAAUUAACUGUGAAGUGUUAAGUAAAGAAAGGGUUGCUGAAUGCUAUGUAGCUGAUCUUAAAAGUACGAAAAAUGUCUUAUGAGAUAUUUUUGCCUAUAGAAAAUUUUACUAUGUUAAAUUUUAGCGACGAAGUUCACUUUCCUUGUCUGUGAAUAUCAACCAUAUUUAUAGCACACUAACUUGAAAGAACGUAUUCUUUGGAGACAAUGAUUAUCUCGUUAUUAUAUUCCCUGGGAAACACGUUUUAUUGAGCUGGUGGCUCAUGGCUUGUGUAUUCUAAUUUCUAAAGCAAAGUUCAAUAUUUAUAAUUUCUUCACAAACACGACACGAAACGGGCAUUACACGCGACAAUGGAAAACUGCAUAGUCAAUUUAGCCAAGUAGGACUUUUGCUUACCCAGGGCAGGCUACACUGAAAAAUUUUUUUGUGACAGUGUUUUCUGUAAUUUUCCUUUAAAACAAUUAUAUUGUUUCUUCCCUUAAUACGCUCUGUCCACAGAUCUUAUGAUGCAUUGUCCUACAUUCACAUGAUGGGUAUGUUCAGGGACUUCCCCUUGCAGAUGAAGCAUAUGAGAUGAAGCUACUGUUGCAUAACUUAAAUACCAGGCAUAUUAGGUAUUUUGCGAGUGAAAAAAAAUGAAAAAGGAAAUUUGCUAAAUAUACCAUGCUGCGUCUUGCCACAACUUUGUUGUUCAUCAUUGUGGAAUGGUCGUCUUGGUUGCUGCAUUGCUUUGGGGUGUCAGGUAGCUGUGGAAGAAUGAAGGAUAUAAGUUGUUGAAGUUUGUCAACUGUAUUUACAUUCGAUUUUAUACAAAGUAAGGAAAAGAGCGAAAAACGGUGAAAAAAUCCAGAGCUAACUUUAAUCAAAUACGGACAAGAGGAACAUCGCGAGAGCUUGGAGAAAGUACAUCAAGACGAAAAUAAUUCCCGUUCACAAAACGUUCCAGAGAGCGUUGCAGAGGAUCAAGGGAUGGAAUCUGGAGCAGAAAGUCAGACUGAAUAUUUAAUAUUUUUACUCGUACUUUUAUAUUUGGAACUUCUUAUUGAAUUGUAUGAUUUAAAUCUUUCUUCAAUUCCUGAUGAACUAUAAAUAUCUAUAAUUUGUACAAGUGCGCCGUGAACAUAAUGAUAAUUGAAAUAUUUACUAAUUAGAACAAAUGUACUCUUCCUUGUCACUAUUCAUCACCAACUUAUGAAUAUUGACAAAACAGAAAUUUAUACUGUUGUAUGCAUAACAUAGUAAUUAAAUCACGUCAUUAUAAAGUGAGAUAGUUUCACGAACAUUUUAUUACGAAAAUUUUCUGUUAAAUUAAUAUACUUCAGACCAACUGCUUUGAAAGCUGGCUGUUAUAGCUAUACUAUGCUUCCUUCAAAUAAAAUUUUUACGUAUUGUAAGAGAAAA